ensembl:lncRNA
UCUCGCUCCUGACUCCUCCCUCUGCCCAAAUCUAGCGCUCUUGCCUUUAUUUUACAAAUUCAGAGAGAACUCCAAGGCAAACCACAACACAUCUCUUUUAAAGUAAUCAGAGAUUUGGACUACUCUGGGGUGUACUGUAGAAGGGGACAACCCUUAGUCCCGUUGUCUACCCCUCCCCUUUUCUUUGUUUCUAUUAGUUGGACCGUGACAGUGGCAGGGUCUUUAGUAGCAAUCUCUUUCACUGUUUUAUCUGCAAAGUUGUUUCCCCUAGCUAUGAAAGUCUCUCCUCUUUGGUAGCCUGGGCAGUGGAUGAUGCUCACCUUUAGUGGUUUGAGGAGAGCUUCCAAGAGCGCCUUGAUCUCAGCUUUGUUCUUAAUCUCCCUGACACUGGAUGUCAGGAGCCCCUCUGCUGGUAUAUCACCCCAUGUACAUGAGCAGUGGCAAAAGCAUACCUGCUAUCGGUGUAGAUGUUGAUUUUUUUUUGCCAGCCCCCAGAUCUAAGGUAUUGAUGAGUGCAAUCAGUUCCGCUUUCUGGGCUGAUGUUCCAGAGGGCAAUGAACCAGGUAACCUCAGCAUUGGGCAGUGGUUGGUUGGAGAGAUCUUUCUGCCACCCCUGUUCCUCUGCCAGGACCUGUAGAUAGUUGUGGGCAGGUACCUUGGGAUCAGGGUUAGGUAAUAAGAGUAACUGGGUUGAGGGUCACUAGAGGUGUGAAAGUGACUCUAUUCAAGUUCAACAACAAAGUCUGGUAGUGGGUCAUACGGGUGUUAGUGAGCCACCAGUCAGGGGGCUGGUGCACCACACUCUUGAGGGCAUGGGCUGCCACGGUCAAGUCCUGUCCUAUGGUCAGCUUAUAGGCAUCCUUAACCAGAACUGCCACCAUCACUAUUAUCCUCAGGCAGGCAGGCCAUCCAGCCGCUACACGGUCUAUUUUCUUUGACAGGCAAGCAAUGGGACAUUUCCAUGGGCCCAAUGGUUGGGUCAGCACCCCCUUAGCCAUCCCUCCGUUUUCAGCCACAAAAUGAUGAAAAGGCCUUCUGAUGUCAGGCAGACCUAGAGCAGGUGUUUCCAAAAGAGCCCUUUUAAUGGCAUCAAAUGCCUGUGAGGGGAACACCCUCUCACCCCAAUAAAAUGGUUGUCCAGUCUUAUUCAAGGGAUAGAGGAGUGCCACUAGCUCAGCAAACCUGGGAAUCCAUAACCUACAAAAAGCCAGCCAUCCCAAAAAUUCUUGCACUUGUUGGGGGUCUUUGGGGCAGCGAUAUGAAGGAUGUUUUCCUUCCUGGCCUCUGAUAACCAGCACCUCCCAUCCUCUAACAGGUACCCCAGGUAGCUCACCAUACACUGGCAGAUUUGGGCUUUCUUGGCCAAGGCUCGAUAACCUAACUUGCUCGGCUCUAUCAGCAGCUGCUUAGUACCCCUGAGAGUUUUUCCUCAGUCUCUACUGCAAGUAAAAGGUCAUCCACAUACUGCAAAAGGGGUCACCUGUGGGUUAGACACAUGGUAGAUGGCAAGGUCACAAUGUAAGGCCUCAUCAAAGAGGGUUAGCAAGUUCUUGAAGCCCUGGGGCAGCUUAGUCCUGGUGAGCUGUCACAUGAUCCCUGCCUUGGGAACUUUCCACUCAAAAGCAAAGUAUUCCUGGCUUUGGGGAGUCAAGGUUAGGCAGAAGAAGGCAUCUUUGAGGUACUGUGUACCAGGUCCUGGGAUAUGGUAAUGAGCUUAGCAGGGUGUAAGGAUUAGGUACUGUGGGGUAUAUGUCAGCCAUUCGCUGAUUUAUCUCACACAGGUCCUGCACUGGGUGACAGUCCUGGUUCUUGACUGGCAGGAGAGGUGUGUUCCAUGCUGACCUACACCUUCUCAUGAUCCCCAAGUCCAGGAGCCUGUUAAUGUGAGGCCAAAUCCCCUCCAGAGCUUCCUGAGACAUACAGGGUACUGACACAUAGAUAUUGGGGUAGCCAUGGCCUUCAGUUCUACAUGGAUUGGGGGGGGGUGCUGGUUGGUAGCCUUCCCCAUGUUUGCUGUUUCAGCCCAGGCCUGGGGGUACUUUUAGCCACCAGUCCAAGUUUUGGGGUGUCUCCUUGAUAUUCUCAAACAGUUUGCAUUCAUCUUCCAAUCUUAUGGUUAGGACCUGUAUAGGUUCCCCGUUGUGGCCUGUGAUGGUAGGGCCCCUGGGAGGAAGUGGAUUGGAGCACCCAUUUUGGUAAGUCUCAGCCAAGGAGGGGGUCGGGACACCAGGUGUGACCAUGAAAGAGUAGGAUACCCAUCCCAGUCCUGGAUCAACAGAUCUUUGGGUACUCCAUGAAUAUUGUUUAGUCCUUGUCGUUCCUUGGACCCAAGACUUUUUCUUGGAGAUGGGCCCCUCUGUUUGGAGGAAGACAAAAUGUUGUGCCCCUGUGUCCACCAGAAACUGGGUGGGUUUCCCCUCCACUUUCAGAGUUAUCCUGGGCUUGGGGAGGGGCUCCAAACCCUAUCCCCCCUAGUCACUCUCUUCUCCUAGAGUUAAGACUCUUUGGGUCUGAGUCAUCUUCUUCCCUUCUUGCCCUCUCUCCCUGCUUUCUUGUGUCGGUAUAGUCUCUAGCCCAGUGGCCCUGUUCUUUGCAAUAGGUGUACUGGUCUUUCUCAAGUGGAGCUCUCUAUCUCCUUACUUGUGGCGGAGGCUCUGGUCCCCUCCUGUUCUCUCUAACCACCGCUGUCAGGAUCUUUUCUAACUUUCUAUCCUGCCACUCUUCUCUUUGUAGCUCCAUUUCCUCUGCCUCUUUCUCUUUCUCCUCUUCCUUUUCUUCCUCUGUUUCUCCAUCAUGAUAAACUUUUUCAGCUACCUGUACUAGUUCCCUCAAAGACUUACCUUGUAAGAUGUCUACCUUCUGGAGCUUCCUCUUUCUGUCCUUUGCAGCCUCAUCUGUAAACGCCAUAGUCAUUGUUACCUGUGUUCCUCAGUGCUGGGAUCAUAGGGUGCGUAUUGGCGGAGAGCCUCCAUAAGUCAUUCUAGGAAGGCUGACAGUGUCUCAUCAGGGCCCUGCCGCACCUUAGUCAGAUUAGUGGGUUGCUUUGCUGCCAACAGAGCCUGGCGGUAGACUCUUAAACCCGCCUUACCCACUGCCACAGUGUAGACCCAGUCAGGCCUCGUUGGGUGGAAUCCCUCGUCCAUGUCAGCAGAGUUCAGGGUUGGGACCCCAUUAUUUCCUGGAACAUUUUUUUCCUGGCCUCUAGGAGAAUUUGUUCCUUCGUUUUACUGGUAAAGAGGGCCUAUAAUUGCUAACAGUCAUCCCAAGUAGGCUGGUGUGUAAAAAGAAUAAACACUAUUAGAUUGGUGAGGCCCUUGGGGUUAUCUGGAAAGGGUGGUGCUAAUCCUUCCAGUUAUAGAGAUCAGAGGUGGAAAAGGGCCAGUAUUGCAUGGCCUGAUUUCCUGUUGCCUCGGCAGGUCCAAAGGCUCACAAGGAAGAGGGCCACAGUGGUGUCAAGGGAUACAGCUCUACGGUUCCACGUCCCCAUGGCAGGACCCGUGUCCUCCUCUGGGGAUGGGUAAAGGGGCUCAGGUGCCAGAACUGGUAGAUUCUCAGCCUCUGCUUGGCACAUUUGGGGCAAGGGCAGGGUGCCACGGGGAGGAGUUUCAAGGAGGGGAAGAUCUGCAGUUUCCUGGAGAACUUCUGUCUUCUUCCCCGAACCAGCCAGUGGCUCAGGCUGAGUCUUGAAGGUCAGAACCAUGCUAGGGAGAAAAGGACAAGCCCAAGCAGGGGGGUUAGUUAUAAGCUCUUUCCAAACAAUUAUAUAGGGGACCUGAUCCGGGUGACCAGCAGAUCUGGAUCUGAGUCCUAGGAUCUCACAUUUGACUGCCAUGGUUAUAGGAAGAUGGAGUGUCCCUUCCUGGGGCCAACUGUUCCCAAAAGCUGGCCAUUUGGAUGCUCACGGGGUCUGGAGUUUCUUUUUCUUUAUGUCUACCUGGAAGGGAGGGGUCUUAGUGUUGGGAUAUCUGUGGUGGAAUUUCCCACUGGCCUUAGAUUGACCCCAACUCUGACUCUUUCAGGCCUAGUCUCCUGAACGGCUGGCUUGAAGCCCGUCGUGAAGUCAGACUGUCUCAAUCCUCUGACUGGGUGUUCCCUAGAACCUGCAUACAGUACCGUUCCAAAGCAGUUACAGCGAGGGGCUCCUGUGCGGCCUCACAGACCCCUUCCACUGGGCCUACACACGCUUAGCCCCAGAUGGUCUCACGACCUGGUCAGCAGUAAAAGAACCGGCUGUUCCUGAACUUGGCCGACAUUCCACCUUUUACCCAACCCCCCCCGUAACGAUGACCCAAUAUCAGCAGGGAUCGGUCAUAGAUCAUUUCAUCACCCCUUAUUCAUUUACUAUCCACAAAAGUCUGGGAUGUUUGGUUUCAGACCCCAGAACAAUGGACUGAGGUUCAUAGUUCACAUACCAAAGCAGACUUAGCCUCCAGGUUCUCCCAGCAUCCCUCAGUCCCUACCUGGUAUACCCUGCCCCCAACCAUGCGCUUUCCAGCCCAGGGGCUGGGUUGCCCUUCCUCCAGAGGCUCUUCCCUAUAUCAUCCAGCCAUUGGGUUCUCCCUCUUCCCCCUUUCUCUUUCUCUCUGCACAUGCCCUCUUUCUUCUUUUCUCUUGCCCCUCUCUUCUCUCUCCCUUUCAUGGAGACUUCCCUAAGGACAGUGAACUCACCUGAGAGCAGCUUCCCAACAAACCUGCAUUUUAUAUAAUCUAAUCUGGCUCGAGUUGGCUCAUUCCACCAGCAGAGAAAUAAUGUGUCAGGAACCCUAAGGAAAAGCUGUCAGACUUGGGUCUGCCAGGCGAAGACCUACGUUGCCCUGUGUGACAGCUGAAGACCUGUCACUGCCCCCACAAAGCCAUCAAGACCACAGGAAUCUAGGACAACCAUCCAGGUAGUAGCAAAGACAUCAGGACAACAGGCAGAAAAGAAUGUUGGCCUCUUUUGGCUCAAGGACAAAAGGCCCCACUAUCAGAGCUCUCUCUCCCAAAGAGAUGCAUGCAGGUAUGUAAGAUCCUCUCUUGUUUCCCUGCAGGGGUCUGCUCUGCCCAUCACUGCUUCUUCAAUUUCACCAUCAGCCAAUCUAGCCCUCUCUGCAGGUGUCUUUCCUUUGCCUGACAACCACGUGCAAGGACUCCCAGCUUGGCAAACUGACCAGCCGACUUUGGCUCCUUUCCCUGGAUUCUGAGCUCAUUCCUUGGCCCGGAGCUUCACUGGAUGCUCUCCACUGCUAAUGAGCCCUCUUUAGGCUUCCUUCCAGGACCUCCCGCAUGUGGCACUUGUUGGAUACCUUUGUGUAAUGCAGCUCGAGCACACGGGGCCAGCCCCGAUGCAGUAGAGACCUUUAGGGGUCAGAAGUACAAAUAACUUGAACACAGAGGGGGAAUAGUCAAAAAGGUGAUGCCAAUGGCUAAUGGCAGGGCCAUUAUUGACACGGGGAAGUACAUGGCGAUGUACACUCGUGAGGUUUAUAGAACUAACAGUAAAGCAUAGGGAAGAUUAAUCAUGAUGUAGAAAUAUUUCAGUAUACGGAGAAAGGCUUUGGAGUUAGCCCAUACCAGGCUGCUGUGCUGGCUCUCUGUCAUUGCAUGAAGGGCUUGAACAAGUGACCUGAUCUCAGGUCUAUGAGCCUCAGUUUUGUCAUCUGAAAAACAGGGUUAUAGGACUGGCUCAGCAGUUAAGAGCACUUGCUGCUCUUUGAGAAGGCCUGGGUUUAAUUCUCAGCACCCACAUGGUGGCUUAUAAACUAUUUGUCAUUCCAGUUCUAGGGGAGCCAAUGACGUCUCUUGGCCUUCCAUAGGCUCUAGACACGCAUGUGUUGUACAGACAUGCAUGCGGACAAAGUACCUAUACAUAUAAAAUAAAUGUGUGUAUAUUAUGUAUGUAUGUAUGUAUAUGUGUGUAUGUGCAUGUGUAUAUGUAUGUAUAUAUGAAUUCUAGUUUCUUGUUCUUGACCCAGACUACUCUCAGGUAUGCUGCCAUGCAGAAUUCCUCAGGAGAACUAAGCCUAAGUCAUUUACAUGGGCAUUCAUGUGGUUUUGAGGGGCUUUGCUUCUUUUCUCUGUCCUCAUUGUUAUGACACCCUAAUCGUUUUACAUGGGUCCUUUCCUCACGGACUGCUUCCGGGAGUCCCUGUCAAGGCGUUGGUUCUGCUUAUUAAUUUUUGUUCUAAGCACCUGUAAUCUGUAGUUGGGGCAGGUGUAGGUCUGUAGGACAGCAGAGGUGUUCUCAGACUUAAGCAAAACCGGGUUCAGUGGGCCAGCAGGCAUCAAAUCACCAUGAUGAAAUUCUUCAGAAUGCUCAUCGCCCUCUUGUGGCAACCGAUCAUAUUGCAGGUGGUUGGAGCUCCAUCAUCCGGGAUCCUAA